UAAAACCGCGGUCACACUGCUCUACAACUUGUAGCAAAAAAAAAAAUAUUUAUACGAAUUUUGAUUUUAAUUAACGAAUUCGUAAAAACGAAUUAAUAAAACGAAUUAAAUCUUGUAGUCGAAGUGAAAAUGUGAACGCUGUGUUUGCUUUUGAAAUGAAAUCCAUUUAAAAUGCAUUUCAACAAAUCAACUCGCUGUGAAAAUUUCGUACAGGCAAAAAAGAGCCGAUUUUUAGUGGAAGAAGAAGCAGCAGCAGCCGAACGGGCAGUAAAAGCAAUCGUCGAAUACACGGACAAAGCGCAAGGCGAAUGAAACUCGUGUGAAGAGAAAACUUGCAAAAAUUACAGCAACAACAACAGCAGCAGGCGAAAAAUGGUUGUGCAAGAAGAAGCAGCAACAAUCAGGCAAAAAAAUACCUGAAAAAAAAAUAAACGGUAAAACGAAGAAGUGGCGACACACAGCGCAGAGCGCGCUAAAAGUUUAUUG